rnacentral:lncRNA from 1 species
GGCCUUAAUUCAUAGUUUGGAUAUGCAAGCAAUACAAGCAAUCAGGAGAAAAGCUAUCUGUGCUUCAAGUACAUCAAAGGAUAAAUGUGAAGAUAGUUGCUAGUUCUUCCUUGGUGGAUGAUGAGAUGAAGUGAUGUCUCAUAUAAUUAGAGGAGAAGAUUGCCCGACUCAUUAAAAUCAUCUUCAGAUUGACGAUACCUUCAAUGCAAGCACAAAUGCCAGCAACUUCUGUUAUGAAGCUAUUUUCUAUGUUUAGCAAUGAAGAUCCUCUAU